rnacentral:rRNA from 1 species
UACGGAAGGCAGCAGUGGGGAAUAUUGCACAAUGGGCGCAAGCCUGAUGCAGCCAUGCCGCGUGUAUGAAGAAGGCCUUCGGGUUGUAAAGUACUUUCAGUCGUGAGGAAGGUGUUAAGGUUAAUAACCUUAGCAAUUGACGUUAGCGACAGAAGAAGCACCGGCUAACUCCGUGCCAGCAGCCGCGGUAAUACGGAGGGUGCGAGCGUUAAUCGGAAUUACUGGGCGUAAAGGGCACGCAGGCGGUUAAUUAAGUUGGAUGUGAAAUCCCCGGGCUUAACCUGGGAAUGGCAUUCAAGACUGGUUAGCUAGAGUCUUGUAGAGGGGGUAGAAUUCCAUGUGUAGCGGUGAAAUGCGUAGAGAUGUGGAGGAAAUACCGGUGGCGAAAGGCGGCCCCUGGACAAAGACUGACGCUCAUGUGCGAAAGCAUGGGGAGCAAACAGGAUUAGAUACC